CUUACAACACCAAAGGUGUUUUUAGAGACUUGAAGUAGAUUUUCAGCUGAAGUUCCGAGAUUGGUUCGUAGUGCAAGCCUGAUGUAGGGUGAGCGUUAUGAAUGAAACAGAAUUUGCCUGGCGGCAGUAGCGCGGUGGUCCCACCUGACCCCAUGCCGAACUCAGAAGUGAAACGCCGUAGCGCCGAUGGUAGUGUGGGGUCUCCCCAUGCGAGAGUAGGGAACUGCCAGGC
rnacentral:rRNA from 1 species